UCUUUGAACCUUUGAACUGCACUCAAAUGCGGUAUCAGUAGCACAUCACCUUGUUUCUUCUGUAGACAUUUGUGAUCACGAAGUAAUAUUGAUCUGUUUUAAACAUUUGGAUCUAGUAGCACUGGGCGGGAGAUGAUCACUGCUGAAGAGCAUGCACAUUUCAUGUAGCAGAAUGGAGUUGCCAAAGUUAUGAAUACGUAGCAAGCAGACUUGACCACUGGGAAAACAGCGCAAUACAUACACUUUGCCGUAUGUGGUGUGUCCGGAGCUGGAAAGUCUAGUUUUCUUAACAGCAUACGAAGACUUGAUAACAUUCGUGAAGAUACCGCAGAGGUCGAUGACGAAGAGAGCACUUAAGAACCGAAAUGUUACGUGCAUCCCAGCAACCCCAAAGUCAAGUUUUGGAACUUACCAGGGAUAACAGAGCAGCGGUGUUUAAGGGUGAUCUGGAGAAGUACUUCAAACUUGAAAUGUGUAGCUGGAUACGUUCCAUACCUACCUCAAUAAUCUUUGCCAAAGAUCGAUUCACCGCUGACGACUUAAAACUUGCAAAGAUGAUUCGAUCAAAUGGCAAGAAGUUUUCCUUCAUUCGUGCAAGAAUUGAUCAAGAUGUUGAGAAUGCGAGGAGAAGCAGACAGCAUUUAUUUAAUGAAGAUGCCAUUCUGGAGAAAAUACGAAAGAACUGUGCAAAAACUUAAUUGGAGGAAGCCUCCUCGGUGAUGAGAAGGAAAUAUUUUUGAUAAGCAGCCACUACCAUUCGAAGUAUGACUUUGGAAUAAUCUCCCAAACAAUUACAGCUGUUUUGCCGAAGCGUCAACGAGAAGUUCAUGCUCUGGCCUUCACUCAGAGAUUGAAUGCUGAAAUAAACUUUGCGUUAUUUCUGUUCAGUGUUAGUGCAUCAGCUCUUGCUACAUGUGUCUAAGUUGCCGGGGGAACCAUCGCCGCUGAUAUCGUGCUGUUACGAAGAGAAAUUUACUUUUAGAAGAAGAGCCACUUCGUCUUCCAGAAGAAAGGGAAAGCAAUUGACUGGAGGAUAAAAAGUCAGCAAAAGGACUAUAAAUGAUUGCUACGUCUCACAAAUAUCCGAAAAAUUACUGUCCGUUAGAAUUAGCAACAAAUUAAAGUAAGUUGAAUGCAGGGAAUGAGGCGUUUAAAAGACGAUUGUAAGAGAACAGAAGAAUUCAUAUUGAUAUUUUUCUGACAAAGCUGAAUUAAGAGAAACGGUUUUCAUAGGCAGUAAAUUGUUUCACUUUAUGUUCGUUUUGAUACUUGAAGUGAAAGAAGACCAAUGAAUCUUUAUUUUAUGUAAGAAAUUUGUUGAUAAAAUUCCUGGAGCAAAAUAAUUGUCUCUUUUUUUACCUCGUUAUUGGUGGAAAUUUAACAUUAUCGAA